CUUUACACUGCACGACAGUGCGAUAAGGGGACUCCGAGUGCGAGGGCAUAUAGCCCUCGCUUUUGUGUACCGUAAGGAGGUCCACGAAUAAGAGCUGGGCAAGACCGGUGCCAGCCGCCGCGGUAAUACCGGCAGCUCGAGUGAUGUCCGAUAUUAUUGGGCCUAAAGCGUCCGUAGCCGGCCGCGCAAGUCCGUCGGGAAAUCCACCCGCUCAACGGGUGGGCGUCCGGCGGAAACUGUUUGGCUUGGGACCGGAAGACUCGAGGGGUACGUCCGGGGUAGGAGUGAAAUCCUGUAAUCCUGGACGGACCACCGAUGGCGAAAGCACUUCGGGAGGACGGAUCCGACGGUGAGGGACGAAAGCUAGGGUCUCGAACCGGAUUAGAUACCCGGGUAGUCCUAGCUGUAAACGAUGCUCGCUAGGUGUGGCACACGCUACGAGCGGGUGCUGUGCCGCAGGGAAGCCGAUAAGCGGGCCGC
rnacentral:rRNA from 1 species